rnacentral:tRNA from 1 species
AUACAUUUAGUGUAUGAUGCAUAUGAAUUUUUGAUGUUUAGGGGGUUAGUUUAAUUCUAACAAUGUAUA